rnacentral:rRNA from 1 species
GACGAACGCUGGCGGCGUGCCUAAUACAUGCAAGUCGAGCGGACGGAUGGGAGCUUGCUCCCAGACCGUCAGCGGCGGACGGGUGAGUAACACGUGGGCAACCUGCCUGUAAGACUGGGAUAACUCCGGGAAACCGGGGCUAAUACCGGAUAACUCUUUCCCUCACAUGAGGGAAAGCUGAAAGAUGGCAUCUCGCUAUCACUUACAGAUGGGCCCGCGGCGCAUUAGCUAGUUGGUGAGGUAACGGCUCACCAAGGCGACGAUGCGUAGCCGACCUGAGAGGGUGAUCGGCCAUACUGGGACUGAGACACGGCCCAGACUCCUACGGGAGGCAGCAGUAGGGAAUCUUCCGCAAUGGACGAAAGUCUGACGGAGCAACGCCGCGUGAGUGAUGAAGGUUUUCGGAUCGUAAAACUCUGUUGUCAGGGAAGAACAAGUACCGGAGUAACUGCCGGUACCUUGACGGUACCUGACCAGAAAGCCACGGCUAACUACGUG